rnacentral:rRNA from 1 species
CCUACGGGGGGCAGCAGUGGGGAAUAUUGCACAAUGGGGGAAACCCUGAUGCAGCAACGCCGCGUGAGUGAGGAAGUAUUUCGGUAUGUAAAGCUCUAUCAGCAGGGGAUAGACAAGAAGGUACCUUAAAAAGAAGCCCCGGCUAACUACAUGCCCGCAGCCGCGGUAAUACGUAGGGGGCGAGCGUUAUCCGGAUUUACUGGGUGUAAAGGGAGCGUAGACGGAAAGGCAAGUCAGAAGGGAAAGCCCAAGGCUCAAACACGGGACUGCUGUUGAAACUGUCACACUAGAGUACGGGAGAGGUAAGAGGAAUGCCUAGUGUAGCGGUGAAAUGCGUAGAUAUUAGGAGGAACACCAGUGGCGAAGGCGUCUUACUGGACCGAAACUGACGUUGAGGCUCGAAAGCGUGGGGAGCAAACAGGAUUAGAUACCCCUGUAGUC